rnacentral:rRNA from 1 species
AUGGCCCAGGCCGCUGAAGUUACUACUCAAGUGAAUUCAUGGGUAGAGAAAGUCACGAGCGGUCGCAUCAAGGACAUUCUCCCCCCAGGAUCUAUUGACAAUACCACUAAACUUGUUCUUGCCAAUGCCCUUUAUUUCAAAGGAGCUUGGACAGAGCAGUUUGAUUCAUAUGGAACAAAAAACGACUACUUCUACCUUCUUGAUGGGAGCUCAGUUCAAACACCAUUCAUGUCCAGCAUGGAUGACCAAUACCUUUUGUCUUCUGAUGGGUUGAAGGUACUUAAGCUACCUUACAAGCAAGGUGGGGACAAUAGGCAGUUCUUCAUGUAUAUCCUUCUUCCAGAAGCACCAGGUGGUCUCUCAAGCUUGGCCGAAAAAUUGAGUGCUGAACCAGACUUCCUGGAGCGGCAUAUCCCAAGGCAGAGGGUUGCACUUAGGCAAUUCAAGCUCCCCAAGUUCAAGAUAUCAUUUGGAAUUGAAGCAUCUGAUUUGCUCAAAUGUUUGGGCCUCCAGCUUCCCUUCGGCGAUGAAGCGGAUUUUUCGGAGAUGGUGGAUUCCCUAAUGCCACAAGGUCUUCGUGUCUCAUCUGUUUUCCACCAAGCGUUUGUGGAAGUGAACGAACAAGGAACUGAGGCUGCAGCAUCAACUGCUAUUAAAAUGGUCCUGCAACAGGCAAGGCCGCCCUCGGUCAUGGAUUUCAUCGCGGAUCACCCUUUCCUCUUCCUUGUCCGGGAAGACAUCUCUGGUGUGGUCCUAUUCAUGGGUCAUGUGGUCAAUCCCCUCUUAUCUUCGUAA